rnacentral:rRNA from 1 species
UACGAGGGGGGCUAGCGUUGUUCGGAUUUACUGGGCGUAAAGCGCACGUAGGCGGAUCGAUCAGUCAGGGGUGAAAUCCCAGAGCUCAACUCUGGAACUGCCUUUGAUACUGUCGAUCUGGAGUAUGGAAGAGGUGAGUGGAAUUCCGAGUGUAGAGGUGAAAUUCGUAGAUAUUCGGAGGAACACCAGUGGCGAAGGCGGCUCACUGGUCCAUUACUGACGCUGAGGUGCGAAAGCGUGGGGAGCAAACAGG